AAAUAUUUUUUAAUAAAAAGAAAAUUUAUUAUUAAUCUUAUAUUUAAAUUAUUAUUAGUUUAAUUAAAAUUUUAGUAGUGUUAAAAGAAAAAUUUUUAUUUUUUAUAGUUAACUAGUAUUGUAAAAGAAAAAUGAAAUAUAAAAAAAUUUAUUUUAAAGUAAAUAUAAAUUUUGUAUUUUGGGUAUCAAAGAUUUUUAAAAAUUUUUAAUUAUUUAUAAAUCUCAAAAAUUUAAGAAAUAAAAGAAUAUAAAAGUUAUUGUAGUAAUAUUAUUUUUUAUAUUUUUUUAGAAAUAAAAUGUUAUUCGAUUAAAUUGAUAUUUAGUUUAAAAAGAAAUAAAUUUAAUUUAUUUAUAAUAAUAUUUAUAUUAAUUAAUUAUAUUAAAUUAAUUAUUAUAAAAAAUUUUUUAGGGAUAAGCUUAAAAAAUUAUUAUAUUUUUAUUUGUAAUAAAAAAUUUUAUUUAAAUAAAAUUUUAAAUAUUUUUUAAAAAUUUAAAUAUUUAUUUUUUUAAAAAAAUAAAUUUAUUAAAAUUAUAUUUUUAUUUAAAACUUAAAUUUUAUUAAAUUAAAAUUUAAUAAUAAUAAUAAUAUUAGUAUAUAGUAAUUAAAUAAAUUAAUUUCUUAAAUUAAUUUUUAAAUAAGAAUUCGACAAAAUUAAAAUUUUACAUGUUUAACAAAAACAUGUCUUUUUGUUAUUUAUUUAAAGUCUAAUCUGCUCUCUGAAUGAAUUUUAAAGGCCGCAAUUAAUUGUGCAAAGGUAGCAUAAUAAAUAGUUUCUUAAUUGGUAACUUGAAUGAAUGAUUGGAUAAAAUUUUUAUUUUUUUUUUAAAAUUAUUAAAAUUUAGUGUUUAAGUGAAAAAACUUAAAUAAAAUAAUAAGACGAAAAGACCCUAUAGAUUUUUAUUUAAAAUUAUUACUAUAACUGUGAAAAUUUUAAAUUUUAUUGGGGUGAUAAAAAAAUUUAAGUAACUUUUUUUAGUUUAUUCAUUAAUUUAUGAGUUGAUAUUGAACAUUACAUUAAAAAAUAAGAUUAAAAUACCUUAGGGAUAACAGCGUAAUUUGAAUUUUAAGACCAAAUUAAAAUUAAAUAUUGCGACCUCGAUGUUGGAUUAAAAUAAACUUUAAAAGUAAAAUUUUAAGGUUAAGGUCUGUUCGACCUUAAUUUUUUACAUGAUCUGAGUUCAAACCGGCGUGAGCCAGGUUGGUUUCUAUCUUUUAUAAAAUAAAAAUAUUUAGUACGAAAGGAUUUAUAAUUUUAAAUAAUUUAUUUAAAAUGAAUAAAAUUAAGUAUAAGA
rnacentral:rRNA from 1 species